rnacentral:rRNA from 1 species
UACAGAGGGUGCGAGCGUUAAUCGGAAUUACUGGGCGUAAAGUGUGCGUAGACGGUUAUUUAAGUCAGAUGUGAAAGCCCCGGGCUCAACCUGGGAAUUGCAUUUGAGACUGAAUAGCUAGGGUGCGGUAGAGGGAAGCGGAAUUUCCGGUGUAGCGGUGAAAUGCGUAGAUAUCGGAAGGAACAUCAGUGGCGAAAGCGGCUUCCUGGACCAGCACCGACGUUCAGGCACGAAAGCGUGGGGAGCAAACAGG